UUUUGUACAUGUGCAGUGCAUACUGUUUUUAAUUAAACAAUUAAUUAUCUUUUUGAAAGUAUUCUUAUGCUUCUUCUGAUUAAAAGCAAUUUGUGGAGUCAAGGUUCAAGACUGAUUUUUCAACACUCCCUUAAGGACACAUUGGGCAACAUGAGGUGUGGGCAACAGGUCAAUUAAACUACAAACUGACAGCCAGCAACCUGAACAAGCUACACCACACAUUGGAGGAUCUCAACUACUGUAUAUGCAAUGGCCUUUCUGUCUACAUCACAACCUGAUGUGAGGAGGAUUUCACUGAAUCAAGAACUCAAGUGGGGGAGGAAGAUUUUCAAGAUGCACUGCUUGAGGAGAUUAACAUCAAUUCUGCAAGGAUUUUCUGAACAGUGGAACAUCAUCAACCCAUGGUGCAAGAUUCUACGACAAGCUGGAGGAGACUGACAAUGCAGCAAUGACUCUGAACAUUUUGGGCACGAAUUAAACCCAAACUCAUUGUUGGCUUUGAAGUGCAGCUCUAAUGCUACAUCUCUGAACAGUGAAACGCUAUCAACCCAUGGUGCAAGAUUCUACGACAAGCUGGAGGAUACCAACAUUGCAGCAAUGACUCUGAACAAUUUGGAUUAGAAACAGAUUUCCUGAAGACUCUUUGAACUCUAGAGAUACAAAUGAGAUGAGAAGGAUGCAUCAAUUCUGCAAAGACACUAUGUGUAUGCAAGGCUAGAGACAUUUGUGAGCCCACCUUCAACGUGCACUUUUGUGAACCACAAUAUGAUCAACCUACAAGGAGCAGAUCGUUUGUACAGUAUCUAGAAACUAGCAAUGUCAAUGUCCAAUAGUAACAAUAGUUACAGUGGGCAUUGCACAACACUUCCAAUGGCAGUUUGAUUAUCGUCACCGUUUUCAAGAAUAGACACAUUUGAAAAAAAAAUCAAAUAAAAAAAAUGCAAAUAAUUUUGUUACAUACUUUUAUGUUUGUGACAUCAACAUUUUUCUCAACCUGUUUAAUUUCUUAACUUAGAACACAUAUUAGCACACAGAUAAAAUCACCAGAGUUAAUUUUGAGUUCGUUUUUUUAACACGAAAUCUUCAAUAUCAACCCACAAAAGUGCUUGAUUUUAAAAAAGAACGAUCUGUGUAACCUGUGUGACAAAUUUUCUUGAAGAGAAAAUCUUGCCUCGUCAUCCUAAUAAACUUAUAAAUUUUCAAUUUCAAAUGUUUCAUCAAAACAAAAGAUUUAGUGACUAAAACAGUCACCAAACUAAUGGUUUCUUUAACAUCAAAUUCAAUUUUCUCCAGAUAUAGUUUUGCUGCAGGGGCUAAAGUGCUUUUUGUAAAAAAUAAAACGGUGACGAUAUCUUUGACAAAUAUAUAUUAAAGUAAAACUGUAGCAUUAAGGUAUAGUCAUCUGUUCAUGCAUGAACAUAUACAGGAUUAGUGUAGUACAAUAGCUUGAACUAGGAUAAAUUGCACUACUAUUUAUUUUAAAAAGUCAUAUUCCUGAAAACAAAACAGGUUGCACUAAAAGGCAUCAGGGAUGCUAAAUGGAAACAUGUAGGACUACAACCGAAUAGCUAUUACAAAAUAGGUUUUCAAUAGUUUCUCCUUAAACCACCAAGAGUGCUAAAUGAGAACGGACUAUCAAACUAAAGUAAUUAGAAUUAGAAUUUCAACAGCUUUUCACAUAAACCCUUAACUCAAUGGAGUAGGACUUAAACAGAAAAUAUAUUUUUAAACAGUUUCUACAUAAACCACCAAAAAUUGCUAAGUUGGAUAGGACUAAAACAAAGGUAUCUCUAAAUAGUAUGUCAACCUUUUCUCCUUAAUCCAACAAAAGUGCUAAAAUGUGAUUGGGCUAAAACAACAUUGUAUUUCUGGCCUGGCACUACAGCUGGCUAUUAAACUUGUGGGUGAGAAUAGGGAAUAGAUGUAUAAUAAUACUUUAUCAACUCUCCCUAACAUCAAAUGUACUUUUUUCAGCAAACAAGAAACAAUAAGUGACACUAAGUCAAUGUUAAUUCACAUUUCAAAUUUUCAAAAUUAACAAUGACAUGAACAUUAGCAGAAACUCUUCUAGAAAUGUCAAAACUGUACAAUAUCCCAACCCUGCUUUUUCUCACAGCCAACACUUCUCCUAAAAGAGAUUGAAUUCAUUUGAGUCAUAUCCAUCAGUUUUACUAAAUUCUUACGCCAUGCAAAGUUUUAAAUCAUGACUUGAAAGACAUACAAUAGGAUAGUACAGAAGUUACUUGUCAAUAAUGUUGUUGGAUUUGACCUUAAAAACUAAGUGUAUCUCAGUUAAUUUAGCACAGAGGAAUUCAUGCAUGAACAGAGAAGUAAUAGUAAAUAGUACUUGACAAGUCUCUCACAGAACCCCAUACUUUUAGAAAUGAAGUAACUAAAACCAAAAAGGCAAUGUCAAGCAAAACAUUUGACCACCAAAGAUUAACAAAUUUAUCUGGUAACACUUUGGAACACUGGGUGUUAACAGAGUAUUUGAAUACUCUGUCCAAAACUAACAAGCAAAUUGGUGUAUAAGCAAAUUUUGUUUUUCGUAACAUAUUCAAACUUCAUGAGACAUCAAAACAAAAAUUGAAGCUUUUUGUGAGAGGCUUGUCUGUCUUAAACGUUGUAAGCUAUUUUAGUUAGUAAGUUAGAGAGUGGAGGGCGAGUCUAUAAGGUCUGUUGGUAAGAUGGGUACAAGAUUGGUCGUUACUGUACUUCUGAACUCAAAACCGUCGGACUCAAAAAGUCAUACCUUUAAUGGUACAACACAUUGGCUGGCACAGCUGAUGGAGUUGUUGUCCCUUCUACACUUUUUUCCCCACUUUAACAAAUACUCACAAAAAGACCUCGCAAAAUACAAAAUCUUUUUUUUCAGCAGCAUCGACGAUUUGUCGUCAAAAGCUGACAUGUUAAUUCUGAAUCUUCCUUUUCAAUUGAAAUCAGUAGCAACGUAAUGAUUUCACCCAAACAAAUUUAUAUUAAACCAAAAGUAUUCAAAAUGGAACCAUAAUGCAAGCCAUCCACAAAAAGUUUUCACAAAUUUUACACUUCUCUGAUGUGCUUUAUGCAUUGAAGUGUAGGGGCCAAGUGGCUCUCUAAACUAAGCUUACGAGACAAAAUCUCAAUUUAAAAAACCUGUGUUACUUUUCAUUUACUUAUAACAAAUUUAAACUCAUUAUGAAGUACUGUAUAUUAGCCAAUCUUGUACAUCAAAAUCUGAAAUUCUAGCAGCAUCGACAAAAAGUCUCCAAAAGCUGAAAUCAAAAUUCUGGAUCUUCCUUUUACAUUUCAAGUGAAAUUUACACAUUUAAUUUGCCCAUCUUUUUCAAUGAACAAUCCUGUUACUAAUGAAAAGUUAUUUUGUAAUUUACCAACAGCUCAUGAAUGUACCCCCUCCCCUUUUGGCACCCCGGUGCAUGCAAGCCAUCCUGGUGCUUGCACGAGUGUUCCCCGCCCGCAGGUGUCGGCAGGCUGGUUGGUGAGUUGUCCUCUGAAUGCACUUGAAGGUGUUUGGCUGUUUGUGAUGUGUCAACCUUCCCAAUACUUGGCGGUCUGGAUGAAUCAGAGACCCACAGUUGACUUCAACAUGGUAAGGAUCCUUUGAACUAUGAUGAUUAAUUUUCUUUCCACAGAGGAGGAUGUGUCCAUCGUCAACUCUGGGCAUUGCAUAUGGAAGAAAUGCCUUCAAGUCUACUCUGAACUCUACAUUUCAUGAUUUGCAUCCUGGUGUUUUGAUCCAUGAGAAUGGAAUAUCUACAAAUGUACACUUUUGCAAGUAUUUCUGAGAUGUUUGCCAUACAUAGGGAUUUUGGUCACAAUGUUUAAGCCAGCCAAUCAUUUGUUGAAUGAUCACAAUCUAAACCACUCUCUGCCUUGCAUUAAACCAAAAUCAAGUUUUGUAGUUUCAAGGAAAAAUUUUACUAAAAGAGCAAUAGUCAAUUAUUUUCGAAAGCAAAGUAUAAAUCCAUUUAAAGUAGUCAAA